rnacentral:rRNA from 1 species
AACGAACGCUGGCGGCAUGCCUAACACAUGCAAGUCGAACGAGACCUUCGGGUCUAGUGGCGCACGGGUGCGUAACGCGUGGGAAUCUGCCCUUGGGUGCGGAAUAACUUUCCGAAAGGAAUGCUAAUACCGCAUAAUGUCGUAAGACCAAAGAUUUAUCGCCCAAGGAUGAGCCCGCGUAAGAUUAGCUAGUUGGUGGGGUAAAAGCCUACCAAGGCGACGAUCUUUAGCUGGUCUGAGAGGAUGAUCAGCCACACUGGGACUGAGACACGGCCCAGACUCCUACGGGAGGCAGCAGUGGGGAAUAUUGGACAAUGGGCGAAAGCCUGAUCCAGCAAUGCCGCGUGAGUGAUGAAGGCCUUAGGGUUGUAAAGCUCUUUUACCAGGGAUGAUAAUGACAGUACCUGGAGAAUAAGCUCCGGCUAACUCCGUGCCAGCCGCCGCCGUAACAC